GGGGAUAUAGCUCAGUUGGUAGAGUGCUUGCCUUGCAUGCACAAGGUCCUGAGUUCAAUCCCCAGCACCACCA
rnacentral:tRNA from 1 species